rnacentral:lncRNA from 1 species
AUGGGGUGAGCCUUUGGGAAUGAGGGGAGACUAGUUUGGAUGCCUUAAAAACCUUAAGAGAGGUCCCUUUAAAUAGGCACAAGGACUGAAUCCUAUUCAAUCACAUAAUACAAAUCCUCUUGCAUUGGAUUUCCUAUUAACUUAAGUUAUCCAACUUAUAUUAGGAAGCCCAUUAGGCACCAAUAAUUGGAGCCCUUACACUCAUAAUUGGACACUCCAAAAUACACCCA